AUACGUAGGGAGCGAGCGUUGUCCGGAAUUACUGGGUGUAAAGGGAGCGUAGGCGGGAGUGCAAGUCAGAAGUGAAAUACAUGGGCUCAACCCAUGGGCUGCAUUUGAAACUGCAUUUCUUGAGUGAAGUAGAGGUAAGCGGAAUUCCUGGUGUAGCGGUGAAAUGCGUAGAUAUCAGGAGGAACACCGGUGGCGAAGGCGGCUUACUGGGCUUUUACUGACGCUGAGGCUCGAGAGCGUGGGGAGCAAACAGGAUUAGAUACCCUGGUAGUCCACGCUGUAAACGAUGAUUACUAGGUGUGGGGGGACUGACCCCCUCCGUGCCGCAGUUAACACAAUAAGUAAUCCACCUGGGGAGUACGGCCGCAAGGUUGAAACUCAAAUGAAUGGACGGGG
rnacentral:rRNA from 1 species